rnacentral:rRNA from 1 species
GAUGAACGCUGGCGGCGUGCCUAAUACAUGCAAGUCGAACGAACAGACGAUGCGCUUGCUCCUCUGACGUUACCGACGGACGGGUGAGUAACACGUGGAUAACCUACCUAUUAGACUUGGGUAACUUCGGCAAACCGGAGUUAAUGCUGGAUACUAUAUUGAACCUCAUGGUUGAAUAGUGAAUGACGUUUUUGCUGUCCCUUAUAGCUGUAUCCUCGCGGCAGUAGCUAGUUGGUAACGUAACGGCUUACCAAGGCAACGAUGCGUAGCCGACCUGAGAGGGUGGUCGGCCACUAUGGAACUGAGACACGGUACUGACUCCUACGGGAGGCAGAGGUACGGAAGGUUCCGCGAUGGGCGAAAGCCUGACGGAGCAACGCCGCGUGAGUGAUGAAGGUCUUCGGAUCGUAAAACUCUGUUAUUAGGGAAGAACAAAUGUGUAAGUAACUAUGCACGUCUUGACGGUACCUAAUCAGAAAGCCACGGCUAACUACGUG